GGUAGCACCAUGGUGUAGCCAGAGGACAGCUAGCUUCCGUCCUCCUCUGGCUACAUUGACCUCAAUACAAAAUUUAGGAGGCUCGUAGGCCUCACCCUCUUUUAUAGACACAUGGUAAUUAUGACCACUUCCAAAGGACUUCAUCCAACCAAUCAAAGCUUUUGCAGUAUUAACUGACAUGUUGUCCAUCCAAUCAUAGAAUUAGGAUCAGAAAAUUAACCUAGUGUGUUGUACUGGGAUUGUGCCACAGAGCAUUAUGGGGUUUCUGUGUUGAGAAACUUGCUGACAUAGUUGAAUUCUUUUUUGAUAUUAUUCAAUUCAAAUGAAUUUUUUUCAAAUUACAGGAGACAGAAGAAGUCUAUUAUAAAUUGUUUUCUUGGUUUUAAAACAUUAUUUUUGUGUUCAUUUGGUGCAAUUUAUAACAAAUUGUUUACAGUUAGCAAGGCUAACUUCAGUAGCUAGCUAGCUACCAGCGCGAAUGUGCAGUUUUCUCCGCCAGAAUGGUCAACUCUGACGAAAAUGUUGUGGACUUUUUGUUGAAGAACCCCUUUCAUUCUCUGGGGUACACAGAAAAAGUGCGAAUUAAAAGCGAGGGUCGACCUCUGCCUGAGAUCAGUUUCAUGACGAAGGAUGAAAGGCUAAGUCCCCUCCUGUUCCCUGAUUAAGAGGUGAUGACCACUCCACUACCAAUGUCCUCUCUCUCAUGAGUUGAACCGAAGCCAUAUCUCAUGUGCCCGCUCAUCGCACAUUAAAUGUUUCUUCUCCAAGCACUUCAAAUCCUGUCCUGCAAUGGUCAAGCCUCUGAACACCUCAACUCAUGCCUCACACCCUAAUUCAAUCACUGCUGUGAUCUCUUUCCAACACUGUCGCCUAUACCAUGGGUCUCCCAUCCUGCUCAAUUCUUCAAGUCACCAGCCUCCACUGCCCUCCACCUACCCAAGGACGUUUGAAUACAGACAUACCUUAACCACCUAAAUGAGGAUCUAAAUGUAACCUUGCGUAAUACCCUAGAUGCAGUUGCACCCCUAAAAACAAAAAACAUUUGUUUUAGCUCCCUGUUUUAGCUCCCUGGUAUAUAGAAAAUACCAGAGCCCCGAAGCAAGCUUCCAGAAAAUUGGAAUGAAAAUGGCGCUCCACCAAACUGGAAGUCUUCCGACUAGCUUGGAAAGACAGUACCGUGCAAUAUCGAAGAACCCUCACUGCUGCUCAAUUAUCCUAUUUUCUUCCCAAAACUAAUUGAGGAAAAUAAGAACAAUCCCCUCCCAAAAAUGUUAUAUUGUCGCAAAGCUAACUUAAAAGCAGCAUUCCCCAAGAGAGGAUGGCUUUCACUUCAGCAGUGAGGAAUUCAUGAACUUCUUUGAUGUAAAGGUCAUGAUCAUUAGAAAGAAAAUUAGACUGCUCUUUCAAUCUGCACAUUUCUCCAAAGCUCAGUUGUCCUGAGUCUGUACAGAACUGCCAGGAAGUUGGAUCAAUGGAGACACUCAAGUUUUUUAAUCCUGUAUCUCUUGACACAUUCAUGAAAAUAGUCAUGGCCUCUAAACCUUCACGCUGCAUACUGGACCCUAUUCAAACUAAACUACUGAAAGAGCUACUUCCUGUGCUUGUUCCUCCUAUGUUGAACGUAGUAAAUGUGGAAGUAAUAAAGCCUCACUUGAAAAAGCCAAACCUUGACCUAGAAAUGUUAUUUAAACUAUCGGCCUGUAUCGAAUAUCCCAUUUAUCUCAAACAUUUUAGAAAAAGCUGUUGCCUGAAGAUCCCAUAAUAGCACUGAGACUGCACUCGUGAAGGUGGCAAAUGACCUUUUAAUUGCGUCAGACCAAGGCUCUGCAUCUGUCCUCGUGCUCCUAGAUCUUACUGUCGCUUUUGACACCAUCAAUCACCAUCUUCUUUUGGAGAGAUUAGAAACCCUAAUUGGUCUACACGGACAAGUUCUGCCUGGUUGAGAUCUUAUCUGUCGAAAGAUAUCAGAUUGUCUCUGUGGAUGGUUUGUCCUCUGACAAAUCAAUUGUACGUUUUGGUGUUCCUCAAGGUUCCAUUUUAGAACGACUAUUGUUUUCACUCAAUAUUCUGUCAUUUGGGAAACACAAUGUUUUCUAUUGUAUUCUACAAUUAUUCUACUAUUAUUCUACAAUGUAGAAAAUAGUAAAAAAAUAAAUAAAGAAAAACCCUGAAAUUAGUUGGUGCGUCCAAACUUUUUUGUUUGUGUCAGAAUCCUUGCGGAACUGUUUUGGAUGAGCUGUGGUUUAGGAAUUGAAUUUGCAGGCAGGUCCCUCAUGUAAUGCUUUCCCAUAUUCAACUCUGGAGAAGAUUAAUGCAUGGAUUAGCUCAGGUGAAAGAAUGUUUUACAGACCGGACUAAUGUGGCAAUUGAAGGAGAGAGGUGGCAGGGUAGCCUAGUGGUUAGAGUGUUGGACUAGUAAUUGGAAG